UCCUCUUUGAUCCACAGCUUUCAGAAAAAGACAAUGUGAUGAUCCUUUUGUUGUUUUUGUAGGAGUCUGUUGGUACUUCAAGGGCGAUAACGUCUGAAGAUGUUGAGCAGAUGUUCUCAAAGAUGAAAAAUAAACGGAAAAGGAUGGAGUGAGUUUAGUAGUCAAUGAUCAGAGGAGGUAUGAGUAUAAUAAAGGUAUGGAGCUUGAAGCUUUUGUGUAACUGCUCUGAUUAAUUGAUGUUAUAUUGGAUUGUG